UUCUGUUAUUGUUGCCAUCUAUUUUUUUAGAGUAUAUCUUAACAAUUCUAUGCUUCCCAAACAUUCACUAGACCACAAUAUGAUUUUUAGCUUCCUUCUCCUAAAGACUCUAACCCAUUUUUUUUUCUUUCUUUUUCUUUUCACACUCAAUCUCAAUCCCCAAAUAAGUUCCCACCUAAUCCUACCAAGUCCAAAAACGCGGAUUGGAACUACAUGAGAUACUACUCUUGUCGGCUCAAACCUAACACGUUCUACCAAGCUCAAUCCUGAAAAUAGGCCUCACAUGCUCUCACAAAAUAACAUGGCUUGAAAGAAGGGUUAGUUAAGGGUGGGGGAACUACUCCAAUAAUAGAAGCAGCUACUUGGAUUAACAAGAGUGGUGAAUAAGUGAAAGAAAAUCCAAAUAUGUAUUCUAUCCACGAGUUCAAAAACGAUGCAAAUAUGA
rnacentral:sRNA from 1 species